rnacentral:rRNA from 1 species
CCUACGGGCGGCAGCAGUGGGGAAUAUUGGGCAAUGGGCGCAAGCCUGACCCAGCAACGCCGCGUGAAGGAAGAAGGCUUUCGGGUUGUAAACUUCUUUUAUGAGGGAAUAGCAUAAGACGGUACCGCUUGAAUAAGCCACGUCUAAAUAUGUGCCAGCAGCCGCGGUAAUACGUAGGUGGCAAGCGUUGUCCGGAUUUACUGGGUGUAAAGGGCGUUCAGAUGGGAAGACAAGUCAGUUGUGAAAUCCCGCGGCUCAACCGCGGAACUGCAUUUGAAACUGUUUUUCUUGAGUACCGGAGAGGUAGUCGGAAUUCCUUGUGUAGCGGUGAAAUGCGUAGAUAUAAGGAAGAACACCAGUGGCGAAGGCGGAUGACUAGACGGCAACUGACGGUGAGGCGCGAAAGUGUGGGGAGCAAACAGGAUUAGAUACCCUUGUAGUC